rnacentral:snRNA from 1 species
GUGCUCACUUAGACAGCACAUAUACUAAAAUUGGAAUGACACAGAGAAGAUUAGCAUGGCUCCUGUGCAAGAAUAACACAAAUUCAGGAAGCACUCCUUAUUUUA